rnacentral:rRNA from 2 species
AGGGUCUUUGGAAACUGGGGAACUUGUUUGCCGAAGAAAAAAGCGGAAUUCCUCCUGUAGCGGAGAAAUGCUUAAAAAUGUGGAGGAACACCAGUGGCGAAGGCGGCUUUUUGGUCUGUUACUGACGCUGAGGAGCGAAAGCGUGGGGAGCAAACAGGAUUAUAUACCCUGGUAGUCCACGCCGUAAACGAUGAGUGCUAAGUGUUAGAGGGUUUCCGCCCUUUAGUGCUGCAGCUAACGCAUUAAGCACUCCGCCUGGGGAGUACGGUCGCAAGACAUGAAACUCAAAGGAAUUGACGGGGGCCCGCACAAGCGGCGGAGCAUGUGGUUUAAUUCGAAGCAACGCGAAGAACCUUACCAGGUCUUGACAUCCUCUGACAACUCUAGAGAUAGAGCGUUCCCCUUCGGGGGACAGAGUGACAGGUGGUGCAUGGUUGUCGUCCGCUCGUGUCGUGAGAUGUUGGGUUAAGUCCCGCAACGAGCGCAACCCUUGAUCUUAGUUGCCAGCAUUUAGUUGGGCACUCUAAGGUGACUGCCGGUGACAAACCGGAGGAAGGUGGGGAUGACGUCAAAUCAUCCUGCCCCUUAUGACCUGGGCUACACACGUGCUACAAUGGAUGGUACAA